rnacentral:lncRNA from 1 species
AGAUUAACAGUCUCUUUCCAUAGGAGACAUCGGAAUCAGAGGUUCCUGCAACUUAUCCUUUUAUUUUUCAAUGCCCCUUGGCAAUCAUUAUUUCACCUGACCGUUUGAUCUUUCUUUUUUUCAACAUCUCGAAUAUAGGUUCGCACGUGGCUGUUAGAUGAGAUGUGAACCAUGACAGGUAGUUCAAUCUAUCCAUGAAACCACGAACCUCUCUUUCUG